CCAUCCUAGUACUACUCUCG
rnacentral:snRNA from 1 species